GUAGAAAAAAAUAAACAAAUAAUAGUACAAUACUGUUUAAGUGUAAGUCUUGUAAUUCGGCCGUUAUUAAUGUAUUGUAAAAUAUACAAAAAGAAAAGAAAAAAGAAAAUGAAAAGUAUAAACUAAAAUUAACCACAGUUGGUCUAGUGUAAUUUUUUCAGUGAUUUAACAAUAUAAUUCAAACAUAAGAUUUAUAGGAGAAUCAAUUUACAAAUUUCAGUAAAAUAUAUACAUAUACAUACAUGUGCACAAAAAAGCACAAAAUGUAUAAAUUAAACAAUUUUUCUAGUAAUCAAUUAAUAGACAUAAAAAAGUGAAAAAUGUUAUUAUCACAAGAUAGAAAGUAGCAAAGCAGUAUGCAAACUUUUGAAGAAGAAGAUUGUAAUAAAAUAAAAUAGAGCAUAUUACACUUGCUUUAUUAAUUUAAAACCAUAAAAAAACAAAUGGAAGUGACAAAUUGACAUGCAUGUAGGCUUACUCCAAGAAUUGUCUUGUGUAUUAGUUUCCAUGGCGAAAUAUUAUAAAACUUGAUUUUUUUUUAGCUUCUAGAAAGUUCUCCACUGAAAAUUAUUAUAUGUCUACUUAAGCAACUUAAGAAAAUGAAGAGGCGAAAUAAAAUUUGCUGGUAAUAUUUUCAGUUCAGAAAAUAAUCGGGUAGUGAUUUAUGGAAAAUUAUAAUGCAAUAUCAAUUGAUACAUAGAAACAUCAGAGGAAAACAAAAACAAAAAGUUAACUAAAAUAAAUAUUGUACUCCAAAGGAUUAAUAUGAAACAUAAAUGAAAAUCAAAUAUAAAAUUGUAUCAUCAGGAAAACGAUAUAAAUUUUGAGGAUUUAAAGACAAGGUUGAAGAAAAUUAGUUUAUGACUAUCAUCAUAUAAUAUCAAAAAGGAUGAGUAUUAUUGUGUGCGAUUAUAAUAUGGAUUCUUUAAGUACUAACAUAUCACUUAGCAAUGAAACUCUUAGAAAAAACGAUAAUUUGUAUACAUAUUUUUAUAUUGUAACAAUGAAAAUAUAACCCUGAAUUAUAAAAGUAGAAGAGCUAUACAGAUAAUUUAAACAUUCAAACCUACAUGCAAUUUUUAAAAUGAGUUUAAGAAAAAUUGCUUUUGAGACUUUAAAAUUAUCAAUUUCAACUUGAAAAUACAUCCUUAUUCCAGUAGAGAAAUUUUCAUUUUGAUCAUGAAAUUUGGGAAAUUAUUUUUAGAUAUUUGGUUGUUCAAGAAAAGAUGUGAUCAUUUGUUACAAAUCAAACUAACCACCCAUAACAUCAAUGAUAUGAUUAUCUUAUAAACAUUUACUCUGAAAAAAAUAAUGAGCACAUGAUAAGAUUGUGAAUAUUGAUGUAGGCAAGCAUGAAGAAAAUAUUAUGAUUAUGUUAAAAAGAUUUUUGACAGAGUUUUAUUUUUUUAUUUUAUUGAUUGUUUGUUUGUUUGUUUGUUUUUUAAGUAUGAUAUUUGAGCAUGAAAUAUUUGGGAUUAAUGAAUUUUACAAUCGAUGGCUGUAAGAAAAUCACAUCUCCUAUAACCCAAAUUUCAAGAUAUUAAGCCAUGAAAAUGACAAUUUGAUUUUCACAAAUAAUGGUAUUUAAAGUAAUCACACACAAAGAAAAAGGAUUCCUCAGAUAUCAAUUCAAAUUAUAAGAAUAAUCACUUAUUGCAAUUUGACAUUGAGCACAUUGCAAUCACAAAUAACAGUGGAAUUGAUAAUGCAAGAGUUUUCAUUGAUGAUAACAACAUGUUGACUUAUUUUUAAUAAUAGACCUUCAAUUUCAAUGAAACUAUGCAAUUAUAGAUUAAUGCAUUUAAUCCAAAGCAACUUUUUUUUUAAAAUUUUUAUCAAAAUACAUCCAUCAGUAUUUUAUUAACUUUACUUUCACCCAUAACAACUUUUUACAAGCAGAUGAAUUGAAAAGAAAACACAUAACAAAUUCAAUACCAUCUAGAGUACCAUCUGAGUAGUUAGUAUUGCUAUUUAUGUACCAUAAACAGUGAAACCUGCACUUUCAUAAAAUGUGAAUUUUAAUUGAUAUCUGUUUAACAAUCUUUGUUUUUAUAUUUAUAUAUGUAUAUAUAUAUAUAUAUAUAUAUAUGUGUGUGUGUGUGUGUGUGUGAGAGAGAGAGAGAGAGAGAGAGGGAGAAUGAGGAUCCUAAAAUUGUGACAAUACUAAAAUUUAUAUUUGAGUAACUUAUUACUUGUUUGUAGCUGUUGCCAUAGAAAAUGCCUUCACAACCAUUGAUGAUUUUUAAAAAUAAUCAAUUUAUACAAAAAGUUAAAAUCACACAAUACAUUUUCAAAGAAAAAAACAACACCACAAUUUACAUGAAUUUGUAUUCAAAAAAACAAUCCUUAAACAUUAUAACACCAUUUUUUUUCUUUCUCAAUUUGAAAGGAUAACAUCCAUAAGAAUACAUACUAAAUAAAUCAUAUAAGCCUACAUACAUAAACACAUUGAUACCUACUCUAUUAGAACUGUAUUUCUAAAAAAAUUACAUUGAACAACGAUUAACUCAUUUUCAUGUCAACAGACAGAUUCUUGUUGAUUGAAAACCUCACUAGACCAAAAAAAACAAAAAAAAAA
rnacentral:lncRNA from 1 species